rnacentral:rRNA from 1 species
CGAACGCUGGCGCCAUGCUUAACACAUGCAAGUCGCACGGGCAGGGGUAACUCUGUCAGUGGCGGACGGGUGAGUAACGCGUAGGAAUCUAUCCUUGGGUGGGGGACAACCACGGGAAACUGUGGCUAAUACCGCAUGAAGACUGAGGUCCAAAGGCCGAAAGGUCGCCUAAGGAGGAGCCUGCGUCCGAUUAGCUUGUUGGUGGGGUAAAGGCCUACCAAGGCUCCGAUCGGUAGCUGGUCUGAGAGGAUGAUCAGCCACACUGGGACUGAGACACGGCCCAGACUCCUACGGGAGGCAGCAGUGGGGAAUAUUGGACGAUGGGCGAAAGCCUGAUCCAGCAAUGCCGCGUGGGUGAAGAAGGUCUUCGGAUUGUAAAGCCCUUUCGACGGGGACGAUGAUGACGGUACCCGUAGAAGAAGCCCCGGCUAACUUCGUGCCAGCAGCCGCGGUAAUACGAAGGGGGCUAGCGUUGCUCGGAUUGACUGGGCGUAAAGGGCGCGUAGGCGGAUAGUACAGUCAGGCGUGAAAUUCCUGGGCUCAACCUGGGGGCUGCGUUUGAUACGUAUUGUCUGGAGUUCGGAAGAGGGUCGUGGAAUUCCCAGUGUAGAGGUGAAAUUCGUAGAUAUUGGGAAGAACACCGGUGGCGAAGGCGGCGACCUGGUCCGAUACUGACGCUGAGGCGCGAAAGCGUGGGGAGCAAACAGGAUUAGAUACCCUGGUAGUCCACGCUGUAAACGAUGUGUGCUGGAUGUUGGGUGACAUAGUCAUUCAGUGUCGUAGCUAACGCGAUAAGCACACCGCCUGGGGAGUACGGCCGCAAGGUUGAAACU